GACGAACGCUGGCGGCGUGCUUAACACAUGCAAGUCGAACGGGCCCGCCCCUGUUUUUGGGGGUGGGUUGAGUGGCGAACGGGUGAGUAUCACGUGAGUAACCUGCCCCCUGCUCCUGGAUAACUGCUUGAAAGGGCGGCUAAUACGGGGUGUGCCGGCUGGUCCGCAUGGGCCUGGUCGGGAUAGUUUCAUCUUCGGGUGUUUCGGUGGGGGAUGGGCUCGCGGCCUAUCAGCUUGUUGGUGGGGUGAUGGCCCACCAAGGCGGUGACGGGUAGCCGGCCUGAGAGGGUGGGCGGCCACACUGGGACUGAGACACGGCCCAGACUCCUGCGGGAGGCAGCAGUGGGGGGUAUUGCACAAUGGGCGGAAGCCUGAGGCAGCGACGUCGCGUGAGGGAUGGAGGCCGUCGGGUGGUAAACCUCUUUCUCCGGUGGUGAAGGCCCUGUCCGUUGCGGCGGGGUUGACGGUAGCCGGGUAUGAAGCGCCGGCUAACUACGUG
rnacentral:rRNA from 1 species